AAUCACUCUAAGGACAGGGCUGGGGUGAAUCACUGUAAGGACAGGACUGGUGUGAAUCACUCUAACGACAGGGCUGGGGGUGAAUCACUCUAAGGACAGGGCUGGGGUGAAUCACUCUAAGGACAGGGCUGGGGUGAAUCACUCUAUGGACAGGGCUGGGGUGAAUCACUCUAAGGACAGGGCUGGGGUGAAUCACUCUAAGGACAGGACUGGGUGAAUCACUCUAAGGACAGGGCUGGGGGGGAAUCACUGUAAGGACAGGGAUGGGGUGAAUCACUCUAAGGACAGGGCUGGGAGUGAAUCACUCUAAGGACAGGGCUGGGGGUUAUCACUCUAAGGACAGGGCUGGGGGUGAAUCACUCUAAGGACAGGGCUGGGGG
rnacentral:lncRNA from 1 species